CGAUGCAGUAGCAUCACCUGGUUCACACGUGGAAGAAAAGGUUUGCUGAGAUACCAGGAUAAUGGAACCCAUUUACUGGGGGGAAGAGUGACAGGUUCUACAGAGAAAAUCGCCCGUAAUCAUAUAUUUAUUUUAAAGAUGAAGUUACAAAAGCCUGAAGUAAAUGUCUGGGCUUCCUAUUCUCCUUCUUCCUUCACUUUCGCCAGGAUGAACUCUAAAUGUUCCUCAACAAAGUGAAAAUACUACACAAAACCUGGCCAUCUUAUUCAACCAGAUGAAAUCAAAUAGCCUUUCUGUCUGAUUCGAGAACAAUAAAUAUUCCCAGACACCAAGGGCUUUAAACCUAAAAAGAAA